AUUGAACGCUGGCGGUAUGCUUUACACAUGCAAGUCGAACGGCAGCACGGACUUCGGUCUGGUGGCGAGUGGCGAACGGGUGAGUAAUGUAUCGGAACGUGCCCAGUAGUGGGGGAUAACUACUCGAAAGAGUGGCUAAUACCGCAUGAGAUCUCUGGAUGAAAGCGGGGGACCGUAAGGCCUCGCGCUACUGGAGCGGCCGAUAUCAGAUUAGGUAGUUGGUAGGGUAAAGGCCUACCAAGCCUGCGAUCUGUAGCUGGUCUGAGAGGACGACCAGCCACACUGGGACUGAGACACGGCCCAGACUCCUACGGGAGGCAGCAGUGGGGAAUUUUGGACAAUGGACGCAAGUCUGAUCCAGCAAUACCGCGUGCAGGACGAAGGCCUUCGGGUUGUAAACUGCCUUUGUACGGAACGAAAGACCUUCUUCUAAUACAGGGAGGUCAUGACGGUACCGUAAGAAUAAGCACCGGCUAACUACGUAGCCAGCAGCCGCGGUAAAC
rnacentral:rRNA from 1 species